CCUGUGUAGAGAAAAGAUGGUACUCCUCAGGCAGGAUGCAGGAGUGGGGGUAGAAGUUGUACUCCCCAGGCAGGAUGCAGGAGUGGGGGUAGAAGUUGUACUCCUCAGGCAGGAUCCAGGAGCGGGGAUAGAAGUUGUACUCCCCAGGUAGGAUCCAGGAGCAGUGGUAGAAGUUGUACUCCCCAGGCAGGAUGCAGGAGUGGGGGUAGAAGUUGUACUCCCCAGGUAGGGUCCAGGAGUGGGGGUAGAAGUUGUACUCCCCAGGUAGGAUGCAGGAGCGGGGGUAGAAGUUGUACUCCUCAGGUAGGAUCCAGGAGUGGGGGUAGAAGUUGUACUCCCCAGGCAGGAUGCAGGAGCGGGGGUAGAAGUUGUACUCCCCAGGUAGGGUCCAGGAGCGGGGGUAGAAGUUGUACUCCUCAGGUAGGAUCCAGGAGUGGGGGUAGAAGUUGUACUCCUCAGGUAGGAUCCAGGAGUGGGGGUAGAAGUUGUACUCCCCAGGCAGGAUCCAGGAGCGGUGGUAGAAGUUGUACUCCCCAGGUAGGAUCCAGGAGCGGUGGUACUCCUCAGGUAGGAUCCAGGAGCGGUGGUACUCCCCAGGUAGGCUCCAGGAGCGGUGGUACUCCUCAGGUAGGAUCCAGGAGCGGUGGUACUCCCCAGGUAGGCUCCAGGAGCGGUGGUAGAAGUUGUACUCCUCAGGUAGGAUCCAGGAGCGGUGGUACUCCUCAGGUAGGAUCCAGGAGCGGUGGUACUCCCCAGGUAGGAUCCAGGAGCGGGGGUAGAAGUUGUACUCCUCAGGUAGGAUUCAGGAGCGGUGGUAGAAGUUGUACUCCUCAGGUAGGAUUCAGGAGCGGUGGUACUCCCUAGGUAGGAUCCAGGAGCGGGGGUAGAAUUUGUACUCCUCAGGGAACAGCUCCUGCAUGGUCCUCACCGCUCGGCUCAGGUUGAUCUUUCUCAGCA
ensembl:lncRNA